rnacentral:lncRNA from 1 species
UGAACCUGUAUAAUUUCUUGUCGGACUUGCUAACUCCUUGAGCAGUUUUAGCUUUUUAUUAUGCUUUCCUUAAAUAUUUCUCUUUUAUAAGCUUUUUAAUAAACUGAAUUACUGUGUCACUGUAAUCACUGCUGAGUGAACGCAGUCAUAUCGCAAGGACUACAGCAGAGGAUGAUGUGAUGAUCUGAAAAAAUUCUAUAUCACUUAGCAUGACCAUUUCUUUCUGAGUCUGAAUUUUCUUUGAGCUACCAAAAAGCUCAGUUGCCCAUACAAGAGGAAAGCUUAGAUUCAUUUACAAUGAAUCCCUCAGACAGGAGUGAGUCCUAAUGAACCAUAAAAACUGGAGGUUUUGAUAUCUUGCUGUGAAAAGAUACAAAAAGAUCUCAGUAGUAGAAAGACUGCUGGAGAGCAAGCAGAGGAAAUACUGCUAACUCAAAGUGAGUCUUUCUUGAAGAGAUUUAACCUUAGUAAGUAUAGAAGUGUAAGUUUCAUUCUAAUUUUGCUUCUGGCAUCACAGUUUUGGAAUGCAACCUGAACAAAGAG